ensembl:lncRNA
UUCUGCAGAACUUCUCCUGGAGCCAGAUAUAUUCCAUUUAGAGGGGCAACCUCCAAAUCUUGCCUUUACUAUCCCAAUUCUUUCAGCAGACCUUCUGAGUUACUCCAAUAGUAAAGAAUUCAGUUCCAAAGGAGGAAGAGGCUGCAAGUUUAUAACAUAUCCUCAGGUAAGGCAGUAGUUACCACUGAAUGGCAGUAGAAGCCAUAAGACUUAAAACGUUCCUUUGUAUGGCCUUUGUAAAGCAAGCAGUGCACACAGAAGUCCAGUAGCUGUCUGUUAAUUUGCUCUCAAGGCAAAUAGUAUCUUGUGUUUGCUUGUUAGAGAUUGGAAAGAAGUGGCAACCAGCAGGUAUUAUUGAGAGGCUGCUCAUUUACCAGUCUUCUGGCUAAGCAUUUAUCAUACAGGAACAAUUGACCCCUCUAGUGGAAUCAACAAUGUACUGCAAUUAUCUGUUUAUGGGUACUUGAAAUUAGCAAUGCAAAUAGAGCCAAAGGUUUUUACAAGACCUAUAACGCGGUGACCUGCUUGCACAGUGUCUCAACAUGGAUCCAUCUUUUAAAAAAUGCCCUCUUAUAAAUCUUUAAAAUGAAGGCCUCCUUUUCUUGAUGAUGUCCAGGAAAGAUAAAAGAAGAGAAAAAUGUCAACCCUCCUACUUAACUUCCUUUGUGCUUUCAAGGCAUAGUGUCUGUUUUGUAACUGUCUCCUUUUCAAUGCACUCUCUUUUCUCUGGAGGCUGUAUGAAUAUUAUACAAUGCCAAGUGCAGCUAUUGGCACUUCACAGGGAACCUGAAAUAAUGAGUAAAAAAGGGUAUGCCCCCAACCAUACAAAAUCGCUAAUGCUUCUGGUAUCAUUUACAUCAACAAUUUUCAUCUUUUCUUCUUCAGAUCCGUAAAUAUUUUCAAGUGGAAGUUGCCAUAUGACAAAUUUGGACCCUUUGGCAACAAGCUUGCUUUUUUCAGUUAGCUUCUUCUGAGCCCCCUAGCCGCGGUCUGUGAGUUGAAUAUCUCUUAUUUAUAUUUUACCUCAUAAAUUGUUGGGAUUCGAAUAGUUAAUGAUUGGGAAAUAAUUUAAAAGUAUUUAAUGAAAUCCAACAAUAAUAAAGGAUAAUUUUGCAUGAAAGUUUUUAUAAAGCUCAUUGUCUGAGGCAAUGAUUUGGAGUACUUUUCCAUAGAAGCGGAAAACACAGAAAUGAAUAGAAUGAAGUAAGGAAGCGCAAAUCACAUGCUCAGAACACACACGCCCUUGCCCUUUUCAAAAAGCUCUUUCAUUCUGUUCCUUCCUGGGACUCCUCCUUUGUUUAUCUGUCACCAUUGGCUUUGUCCACAUCCUUCAACACUUGAACUGCUGUAUCAUGCUUUUCAUUUUGCCUUCUUGCAACAUCUUCUUUGGCACUUUGUAGGUCUAGAGGCACUAACAUCCCUGGCUUAAAAGGCAUGUGGUAAAAAAAGAGGAGAUAACUUUGCUCACUCCAGGCAAACACACACACAUAGCCAUCUUCAAAACACAAAUCAGUAACCAUUCAGUAAAAUAGUCCAUGGAUUUCCAAGGUGGUUUUGUUGGCUAACCAAAAACCACGUCUUGGCCGGGCACUUGUGCCUACUGUUACUCCUUAAGACUGUAACAUUUCUUUAAAAAUAUAUGUCCAGAAAGUGAAGUGAGUUGACAUGUGCUCUUAUGACUAAGCUUAGGUGUAAUAUCAAUUAAUGUUACUAUGGCCAGUUUAGUGCUCCAGAAAACAGUCAGUGCUCAUUAAAAGAGUCUGCCUCAGUCUUGUAACGUGCAGCUUGUGAAGAAGUUUGUGUUGACAGGAAACAGAAGUUCAGUGAUCAGUAGGUCUGGCUCAUCCCAGAUAUCCAUGAUCCAUCUUUCUCUCUAGAGCAGAUAUAUGAGAACAUACUAAUACACAUACACAAAUGAGUUCCUUCUGUUGGAUUUCCCCAAG